UUUUGAAGAGAGAGAAGUUGUUUGAGAUUAAAAAUAGAGGGCGAGAUCUGGGUCUGACCCAUUUCUUUCUUUUUUCCUUUCUGGGUUUUGUCUAAAUUCGGAAUUCGAGAUCCCUUCGUUCAAAAAGGGCCGUCUUCUUCUUCCUCUACUUCUUCUUCUUAUUUAUCCGCUUCCAUUACUGGAUCUUUUAGUUCCCUGUGCUGGGAGCUAUGGGUGUUGAGGUUGUUGGAUUUGAGAUGGUCAAUGGACCGAUGGAUUCGGUACCGGCAGCAGAUAUUUCUGUAUUGAAAAGCAAGGAAAAUGGAGAUUUGGAUCAAUUGCCUGAAAAAAAUGCGACCAUAAAAUUUGGUUCUCAUGAAGAUGAACCUGUUAAAGAGCAGGCAGAUGGUUCUUCAACCACCAAUGUACCAAAAGAUGCGGCUGAUGAAUGGCCUGCACCUAAGCAAAUCCAUACCUUCUACUUCGUGAGGCAUCGGGCCUAUGACGAUCCGAAUGUCAAGGCUAAAAUUGAUGUGGCUGAUAAAGAG
rnacentral:misc_RNA from 1 species